rnacentral:misc_RNA from 1 species
ACGUCAUCCCCACCUUCCUCACUACUUGCGUAGGCAGUCCAUUUAGAGUGCCCAGCAUUACCUGAUGGCAACUAAAUGUAGGGGUUGCGCUCGUUGCAGGACUUAACCUAACACCUCACGGCACGAGCUGACGACAGCCAUGCAGCACCUGUACAAGACCCCUUGCGGGUAAUCCCCUUUCAGGGACUAGAAUCUUGCCUUUCAAACCCAGGUAAGGUUCUUCGCGUUGCAUCGAAUUGAACCACAUGCUCCACUGCUUGUGCGGGCCCCCGUCAAUUCCUUUGAGUUUCAACCUUGCGAUCGUACUCCCCA